CAUGACUACAAUUUGUUUGGUUUUCCCUGAUGUAAUCCUAAUAUUUUGCAGAAUUGUUUCUAGUCAGGAAAUGUGCAGCAGUAUUUUGCAUUUUGUGUACUAGUUUGGAAUAAUAUCUUUAUUUGACCAGAGACCAUAAAAUAGAAAUUUUGAAAGAGUAAUGUUACUACCCAAAACAAAC